UACGUAGGGACCAAGCGUUGUUCGGAUUUACUGGGCGUAAAGGGCGCGUAGGCGGCGCGGUAAGUCACUUGUGAAAUCUCUGAGCUUAACUCAGAACGGCCAAGUGAUACUGCAGUGCUGGAGUGUGGAAGGGGCAAUCGGAAUUCUUGGUGUAGCGGUGAAAUGCGUAGAUAUCAAGAGGAACACCUGAGGUGAAGACGGGUUGCUGGGCCAACACUGACGCUGAGGCGCGAAAGCCAGGGGAGCAAACGGG
rnacentral:rRNA from 1 species